AGAGUUUGAUCCUGGCUCAGGAUGAACGCUGGCGGCGUGCCUAACACAUGCAAGUCGAACGAAGCACAUACGACGGAACUCUUCGGAGGGAAGAUGUGUGUGACUGAGUGGCGGACGGGUGAGUAACGCGUGGGUAACCUGCCCUAUACAGGGGGACAACAGUUGGAAACGACUGCUAAUACCGCAUAAGCGCACAGUACCGCAUGGUACAGAGCGAAAAACUCCGGUGGUAUAGGAUGGGCCCGCGU
rnacentral:rRNA from 1 species